rnacentral:lncRNA from 1 species
ACUGCAGUAUACAAUCUAUAGUUUUUUCCUCUCCUGUAAAAAGCUUUGUCAAAUAUUCGUUAUCACUUUUGCCGUUAUGUUUUACUCACAAAAACCUACAGGAUGAGCAACUGUAAAAAUUCAAUUGAAAUUAAAUGAUCACGUGACUCUAUUUUUAUUAAUUUUAUUCCCUUAUAAAAAUAUUCCUAGACUUUUCAGGUGUGUGUACCUACAUAAUUUUACUAGUAUUCACGUGUAGCCCCAUUCUUUUUGCUGCUGCUUCCAAUGCCGUGAACGAUUGGAUUAUUUUAUUUGACUACUGUUUUAAGUAAAGAUUUGAUACAAAAAUCUAAAUAUUCUCAACUACAACUACAGUUUUCCUAAUUAAAUGAAUCAAUUUCCGUAGUGUGGUUGGGUAGACACGCUCAUUAUAGUUUCUGAUUGUAUGGUGGCGCUGUUGUCAAUGUCAAAGUGUCAAGUCAAAAUUUGUGAUUCACAAAAAUCAAGCAAAAAUCAGUUAUUUCAAAAUGGUUUACGCUUAACUGUUAAGUAAGAUAAGACAAAGACACGAAAAUUCCAGUGAAUUUGGUAGCAGUUACAAAGAAUUUUCUCCAGAAUUUAUCAACAUUUUUCUCCAGAACCUGUGAUCAAACUGUUAAUCAAGUAUAUCUGGCCGAAUUGUACAAGAGAAAAAUAUCUUUACCACUCAAGAGGGAACGCCUUCGUUAUUGCUGAGAUUGCUAAAUUUUAUCCACAAGACUAGGAUAAUAGCAACGAAUAUUACGCCAUAAGAUAAGAGUCUAUAUUCGUGUAUAAUAGGGCACAACUCAUCAGAAAUCACUGUUUUGGGAUGUCCUGCAUGACAUAGGAUAUCUACACAUAGCACAUCUACACGUGAUAUUAUUACUUGAAAUUGGCAGACUUUGGAAUACUGUUUGAUUUGAGUAAGGACUCUGCAGGAGUGAUGAAGUGUGACGUGUCAUCUUAACUGGAUGGCUUUCCUUUUUUUCAU